rnacentral:lncRNA from 1 species
CGCGGGGCCGGCCGGCGGUCACGCGGCGGCCGCAUCCCGCCGGGCCGCGGCGAGUCUGCGCAGCGGGUGGUCCCGGGCCCUUCGGAGCCGGGAGAAGGAAACUCGGCGCUGCGGCUCCACGUGGCUGGCCGUCUCUGCUGUCGCGGGCUUGUUUCCUGCGCCCAGGGCGGCUCGCGCUCUCUUCAGGGCUUGCUGCGCGCGGGAGGCCGCGACUUCGCUCGGGCACGCUGUGGAGGUGGCCGGGACCGCUUCGCCGCUCCCGGGGCCGCGCGAGGGGCUUCCCUCCAGCCGCGGCCACGCGCGCUCCGGCCCCGGUGCGGCGGCGAGCAGAGCAGACCUGAAUUUCACUCACUGCUUCUCUACUGCUUGAGAUCAGCAGGCUCUCACUCCAUUCCAUCGCUUUUCUUUACUCCUGCCAAAAAGGAUUGGAUCCUAGGAUUUUUCUCCGAAUAAUGGCAGAAGGAAGGAGAGGCGGGAGAGGACUAAUUUUGGUGCUGUGAAAGUGGGACUCUGACAUUUCAAUGGACAGACGAAUUUCGUGAUCUACAUUCCUGGUUUAAUGAAAUAGGGGGAUAAACUAGAUUUAUUUUUUAUUAAUGCUUUUAUUUGUGCUUUAGAUUUAUGCUUUUAAUUGUGAUCGUCAGUCUGUAUAUUCUUAUUUCUUGUACGAACUGAGCUUUAUUAUUCUGUUCAAAUUUUUUGUCAUCCUCAAGACUGAUGGUGUACACACUGACUUAGAGAUGGGGCUGUACCUGCACCCACUGAACUGAGUUAAGGAACCCCACUCCAGGGUUCUUGAAAGUGAGCAAGCAGUGGUCUAACACACCUCACUGCAAUCAAGAAAGCAGACAAACGUGGGAAAGGACUAGGCAAAGGGGAAGACAAGAGGAGCUGCACCUAUGUGUGUGGUCAGCAGGUAAAGGCCCCCCAAAUGCCCAUGUCCUGUCCCCUGGGAGCCCGUGGCUCUGGGACCUUAUAUGGCUUUGCUGAUGUGAUUAACUUCACAGCCCACAAAAUAGCGAGAUUGUCCUGAAUUAUGGGGGAGGGGGUACGCAGUGCAAUCAGAGGAGCACUUAGAAGCAGAGAACUCUCCAGCUAGGGUCAGUGAGCUGCAGAGAUGCUGCAGAGAAACAGGAAGCAGGAGGUGGACUCAGCCCACCCUCCCUGGUGCGGCCAUGUGGAAAGUGUGAGAAGAAGUGGAGGGCAGGAGCCUCCAGGAGCAGCCAGCAGCUGCCAUCUUGCAGAAAGGACCCUGCCCAGCUGACCCUGUGGCCUCCUCUCCUGAGGCUCUGAGCAGGGAACUUGUACCCUGACCUCUGGCACCCAGAACCGAGAGUUAAUAAAGGCCGUUACUUAGAACCGUAAGUUCCUGGUCA